rnacentral:rRNA from 1 species
GAUUAGAUACCCCACUAUGCUUUGCCCUAAACAUUGGUAGUACGCUACACUACUAUCCGCCCGGGAACUACGAGCAUUAGCUUGAAACCCAAAGGACUUGGCGGUGCUUUAGAUCCACCUAGAGGAGCCUGUUCUAAAACCGAUAAUCCCCGUUAAACCUCACCUUUUCUUGUUCUCCCCGCCUAUAUACCGCCGUCGUCAGCUUACCCCCUGAGGGGCCCAUAGUAAGCACAAUUGGCAUAGCCCAAAACGUCAGGUCGAGGUGUAGCGUAUGAAAAGGGAAGAAAUGGGCUACAUUCUCUACCACAGUGCAUACGGAAAAUCACACUGAAACGUGUAUCUUGAAGGAGGAUUUAGUAGUAAGCAGGAAAUAGAGCGUCCUGCUGAAAUUGGCCCUGAAGCGCGCACACACCGCCCGUCACC